rnacentral:tRNA from 1 species
UCCCUGGUGGCUCAGAUGGUAAAGCAUCUGCCUGCAAUGUGGGAGACCCGGGUUCGAUUCCUGGUUCAGGAA